UCAGUCUGGAGCAGGCAUUGGUCUUAUGAUGGAAAAGGGAUCUAGUGCCAAAAUACACAAGAUUGUCAACUAGAGGGAGCAAUAGAGAAGGAAGAAUGGAGGGAUCCUAUGGCUGACUGAAAUGAGAAAAUUACAAGACAUCAAGCAGAUAAAUGUAGAACAAUGACUAAAUACUAAAGCCAAGAGAAACAGCUGAUUUGGAUACAUUCUAUAGAGAGAGAAAAAAGAGAGGAAUUGAUCUCCACAAGGUUACCAGCAACCUCAUCAAAUAUAUUAAAUGUUUUUCAGCCUGAAUCUUUACUGGAAUUCUCUUCAGCUCUUAAGACUGGAUAUAUUUCUACUUCCAAAUUUUGACAACUACAAAUAAAGAUGCUGCAAACAUCCAUGUGAAGGAUUUCGAGUGUACAUCAAUUCUUAACUCCUUUGGGUAAACACCAAGGAAUAUAACUGCUGAAUCAUAUGAAACAUGCUUUCCUAAAUUCUACAAAAGAAGUGAUAUAAUGUGGUGAAAGAGCUGGGGACCCCGGAUUGUGAGCAAUGUGACGGAAGGCAUUUAUUGCUUGACCACUUUACUCAUCUCUGGCUUCAACACCCAACAUGGACUGAUGUUUGAUGACCUAAGGAUCAGAGCUGGCAUCUCUGCUGACAUGUGUACUUGGCCUUUAGAGAAUAUUCCUAUCAACAGCUACUAAGUUGGGAUAAUAUGACCCAAAGGAGAGACAAAUAGAUGAAAUUAUCAUUUGCCAGAGUUCGUAUGGUUGGAGACAGCUGUGAAUGACUAGAUCUCCCAGAUCCUGGUACAGUAUUUAACCUUUUAUUUUCUUAUAUUCCACAAUUUUCCCCUAUACCUUCCUCACCCCCAACCCCCUACCCAAUUAGUCUCAUGAAUCUAUUAAUCAGUUGCUUAAAUCUAAUUUUGGGAAGAAAUGUAGUCAUUCAAAUUCUAAACAUGAAAAAGAAAAAAGUCAAUAAAUACUUAUUUCAGUGAUCAUAAUGUGUCAGGCACUGUAAAUAAAUUGAUAAGGUUGAAGCAGUACUGGUAAGAAAGUUUUGUUCACAGGAAUGUUAUGAGUGAGCUCAUUAUUUAGAAGUAAUUAGUAGACAGCUAUGA